rnacentral:rRNA from 1 species
GUAGUCCACGCCGUAAACGAUGUUCACUCGCUGUAUGCAAUAUACCGUAUGCGGCCAAGCGAAAGUAUUAAGUGAACCACCUGGGGAGUACGUCGGCAACGGUGAAACUCAAAGGAAUUGACGGGGGCCCGCACAAGCGGAGGAACAUGUGGUUUAAUUCGAUGAUACGCGAGGAACCUUACCUGGGCUUAAAUGUAGAGUGCAUGUCGUGGAAACACGCUUCCCUUCGGGGCUCUUUACAAGGUGCUGCAUGGUUGUCGUCAGCUCGUGCCGUGAGGUGUCGGGUUAAGUCCCAUAACGAGCGCAACCCCUAUCGUUAGUUGCCAUCAGGUCAUGCUGGGGACUCUAGCGAGACUGCCACCGUAAGGUGAGAGGAAGGUGGGGAUGACGUCAAAUCAGCACGGCCCUUAUGUCCAGGGCUACACACGUGUUACAAUGGUCGGUACAAAGGGCAGCUACCUCGCGAGAGGAUGCUAAUCUCGAAAGCCGGUCCCAGUUCGGAUUGGAGUCUGCAACCCGACUCCAUGAAGUUGGAUUCGCUAGUAAUCGAAUAUCAGCCAUGAUCCGGUGAAUACGUUCCCGGGCCUUGUACACACCGCCCGUCAAACCAUGGGAGCUGGGGGUGCCUGAAGUCUGCCACCGCAAGGAGCGGCCUAGGGUAAAACUGGUAACUGGGGUU